UACAGAGGCCACAAGCGUUAGACGGAAUCACUGGGCUUAAAGCGUGUGUAGGCGGGAUGGUAAGUACCUUGUGAAAUCCCACAGCUUAACUGUGGAAAUGCUUGGUAUACUGCCGUUCUUGAGUCACCUAGGGGCAACUGGAACAGAUGGUGGAGCGGUGAAAUGCAUAGAUAUCAUCUGGAACGCCAAUGGUGCAGACAAGCUGCUGGGGGUGUACUGACGCUGAGGCACGAAAGCCAGGGGAGCGAACGGG
rnacentral:rRNA from 1 species